AGAAUGAACGUUGGCGGCAUGGAUUAGGCAUGCAAGUCGAGCGAGAAGGGUUUUGAAGCUUGCUUUAGAACCCGGACAGCGGCGAAAGGGAGAGUAACGCGUAGUUAUGUACCCUAGGGUCCGGAAUAGGCCACGGGAAACUGUGGGUAAUGCCGGAUAACAUCCCCGGAUCAAAGGUGUGAUUCCGCCCUAGGAGCGAGACUGCGUCCUACGUAGCUUGUUGGUGGGGUAAUGGCCCACAAGGCAAUGAUGGGUAGCGGGUGUGAGAGCAUGACCCGUCUCACUGGGACCUGAGACGACUGCCCAGACCACCUACGGGUGCUGGCGAGUCGAGAAUCGUUACGGCAAGUGGGACGAAAGCCGUGAACCGAGCGA
rnacentral:rRNA from 1 species